GUGGGGAAUCUUGCGCAAUGGCCGAAAGGCUGACGCAGCGACGCCGCGUGUGGGAUGACGGCCUUCGGGUUGUAAACCACUGUCGGAAGGGACGAAUGGCCCGCAAGGGCAGUGACGGUACCUUCAAAGGAAGCACCGGCUAACUCCGUGCCAGCAGCCGCGGUAAUACGGAGGGUGCGAGCGUUGUCCGGAAUCACUGGGCGUAAAGGGCGCGUAGGCGGCCCGGUAAGUAGGGGGUGAAAUCUUGCGGCUUAACCGCAAGGCUGCCUUCUAGACUGCCAGGCUCGAGCACAGUAGAGGCAGGUGGAAUUCCCGGUGUAGCGGUGGAAUGCGUAGAGAUCGGGAAGAACAUCAGUGGCGAAGGCGGCCUGCUGGACUGUAGCUGACGCUGAGGCGCGACAGCGUGGGGAGCAAACAGGAUUAGAUACCCCUGUAGUCC
rnacentral:rRNA from 1 species